GACGAAGGGGGCUAGCGUUGUUCGGAAUUACUGGGCGUAAAGCGAACGUAGGCGGUGUUCCAUGUCAGAGGUGAAAGCCUGGGGCUCAACUCCAGAAUUGCCUUUGAAACGGGGACGCUUGAGUCCGAGAGAGGGUGGCGGAAUUCCUAGUGUAGAGGUGAAAUUCGUAGAUAUUAGGAAGAACACCAGUGGCGAAGGCGGCCACCUGGCUCGGUACUGACGCUCAGGUUCGAAAGCGUGGGGAGCAAACAGG
rnacentral:rRNA from 1 species